rnacentral:rRNA from 1 species
GACGAACGCUGGCGGCGGGCUUAACACAUGCAAGUCGAACGGAAAGGCCCUGCUUUUGUGGGGUGCUCGAGUGGCGAACGGGGGAGUAACACGUGAGUAACCUGCCCUUGACUUUGGGAUAACUUCAGGAAACUGGGGCUAAUACCGGAUAGGAGCUCCUGCAGCAGGGUGGGGGUUGGAAAGUUUCGGCGGUCGGGGAUGGACUCGCGGCUUAUGAGCUUGUUGGUGGGGUAGUGGCUGACCAAGGCUUUGACGGGUAGCCGGCCUGGGAGGGUGACCGGCCACCUUGGGACUGCGGUACGGCCCAGACUCCUACGGUGGGCAGCGGUGGGGAAUCUUACACAAUGGGCGGGAGCCUGAUGAGGCGACGCCGCGUGCGGGAUGACGGCCUGCGGGUUGUGAACCGCUUUCGCCUGUGACGAAGCGUUAGUGACGGUACUGGGUAAAGAAGCACCGGCUAACUUCGUG